rnacentral:rRNA from 2 species
GGAUGUGAUCAUACCAGCACUAAAGCACCGGAUCCCAUCAGAACUCCGAAGUUAAGCGUGCUUGGGCGAGAGUAGUACUAUGAUGGGUGACCUCUUGGGAAGUCCUCGUGUUGCAUUCC